rnacentral:rRNA from 1 species
GAUUAAUACCCGAUGGCAUAGUUCUUCCGCAUGGUGGAACUAUUAAAGAAUUUCGGUCAUCGAUGGGGAUGCGUUCCAUUAGGUUGUUGGCGGGGUAACGGCCCACCAAGCCUUCGAUGGAUAGGGGUUCUGAGAGGAAGGUCCCCCACAUUGGAACUGAGACACGGUCCAAACUCCUACGGGAGGCAGCAUG